UGGCUGAACUCCUUUCUAGGGAGGAGAAUCCAAGUUUGAUAAGCCUGGGUUUUAUUUUUAAUUUAUCUGUGUUUCCCUCCCAGCCCGGAAGCCUAGGACACCGGCCACAACAAAUGCUAAGUCUUUUGUUCCAUCGAGGAAUGAUCUCGCUCUGGAGCCGACUCUUGCCGGUCAGAGCUCGGCGUCCCAGCCUUUCAGGCUUUCGGCCAGUUGCUCAGCUCCAAUUUUCGCCCCCGAAACACAAGGCUAUUUCUGUGAGGUGAGCACAUCAGAACGCGGUUAGCAGUCUUGCUUGGGAUUUUGCGACCAGAAUGGUAAUGCAGACCCUCGCUUUUAACAGGUGUCAGUCGUCAGUAGCAAGACACGACCCACGUGAAAUGCGUUGUUCGCAUAAAUACACACGUUUUAUACACCCCACGGGACAGACACGCACUCAGGAGCCAGCGGCCGAGGGCCCGUCUCAGGGGUUUCCACCCCGGUCCGCAAAGAGCCACUACAGCUGAUGUCUAAAAUAAGGUUUGUGUGCAAAGGGCAAGGAAUGGACGGGCAAACAGCAUCU
rnacentral:lncRNA from 1 species